UACGUAGGGUGCAAGCGUUGUCCGGAAUUAUUGGGCGUAAAGAGCUCGUAGGCGGUCUGUCGCGUCUGCUGUGAAAACUCGGGGCUUAACCCCGGGCCUGCAGUGGGUACGGGCAGACUAGAGUGCGGUAGGGGAGACUGGAAUUCCUGGUGUAGCGGUGAAAUGCGAAGAUAUCAGGAGGAACACCGGUGGCGAAGGCGGGUCUCUGGGCCGUAACUGACGCUGAGGAGCGAAAGCGUGGGGAGCGAACAGG
rnacentral:rRNA from 1 species